AGUGAACGCUGGCAGUAGGCCUAACACAUGCAAGUCGAACGGCAGCACAGUAAGAGCUUGCUCUUACGGGUGGCGAGUGGCGGACGGGUGAGGAAUACAUCGGAAUCUACUUUUUCGUGGGGGAUAACGUAGGGAAACUUACGCUAAUACCGCAUACGACCUACGGGUGAAAGCAGGGGAUCUUCGGACCUUGCGCGAUUGAAUGAGCCGAUGUCGGAUUAGCUAGUUGGCGGGGUAAAGGCCCACCAAGGCGACGAUCCGUAGCUGGUCUGAGAGGAUGAUCAGCCACACUGGAACUGAGACACGGUCCAGACUCCUACGGGAGGUAGCAGUGGGGAAUAUUGGACAAUGGGCGCAAGCCUGAUCCAGCCAUACCGCGUGGGUGAAGAAGGCCUUCGGGUUGUAAAGCCCUUUUGUUGGGAAAGAAAAGCAGCAGGUUAAUACCCCGCUGUUCUGACGGUACCCAAAGAAUAAGCACCGGCUAACUUCGUG
rnacentral:rRNA from 1 species